UUUUGGCCAAUGGGGGCAACCUUGACCCACCGAUCCCGCGUGAGUGAAGAAGCCCUUCGGGUGGUAAAGCUCUUUAGGUUGGGAAGAAGGUUGGCCGAGGAAAAGCGGUUAAUUUGACUGUACCAGCAGAAUAAGCACCGGCAGACUCUGUGCCAGCAGCCGCGGUAAUACAGAGGGUGCGAGCGUUGAUCGGAAUUACUGGGCGUAAAGGGCGCGUAGGCGGUUAUAUGAGUGUGGUGUGAAAGCCCCGGGCUUAACCUGGGAAGUGCAUUGCAAACGAUAUAACUGGAGUAGAUGAGAGGGUGGUGGAAUUUCCGGUGUAGCGGUGAAAUGCGUAGAGUAUCGGAAGGAACGUCAAUGGCGAAGGCAGCCCCCUGGCUAUCAUACUGACGCUCAGGCACGAAA
rnacentral:rRNA from 1 species